AGUUGAAAUGGGGUGGGAUAUUUUCUUCCCUAGCAUCCCACGUACCCCACCCCUAAAGUCAAUUUGGCCUAUCUUUAUUUUGCUGCAUCUGAAGUCCAGCAGCUCGCUUUCCUCUUUCUCUACUCCUUUUUCCCCUUUCUUUGUUCUUCUUUCCUCUUCCCUUCUUACAUGGCAACAUCUCUCUCUCCCUUUCUCACCAAAAAUUCUAGUUUCUUUAGAGAAGAAAUUAAACAAUUAGCCUUAAGGUUUCAUCUUCAAAGUGUGUGGGUGUCACCAGUUUCCCAGGUUUAAGCUCCUUUGACUUUAGGCUCUCGGUUCCUCUGCUUUCAGGUAAGGGAUAAGUUAUAUGAGCAUUUGGUAAGUCAUGAGGUUAUUUUAAAGUAUAUUAUGCAUUAAAAUGUUUUUGAUUAGAGAUAUGGCAUGUAAUCAUUAUUCUGACAAAGAUAUGUUCGUGAGCUUUCGAAAAACUUAUGUAUAUGAUUUAAACAUAUUGAUGCUAUUAUUGAUUCCACGAACAUGAUGUUUAAUGAAAAGAAUGGAAAUGCUAUUAUUAUGAAAUGUUAUGCAAAAUAAGAAAUUUCAGUAUGAUGUAAAGUAUGAAAUGUUUUCGGGUUAUGUCCUCUGAUAAUUUGAACUCAGCCAGUAGGGGUUAAUUAUUGGCUUUCCAUGGAAAAAUGCUAUCUGUUUGGCCAUUUAAAGUAGAGGAAAUGAGGCUGCCCGUAACUCUAGGCCAUUUAAAGUAGAGGAAAUGGAGUUGCCCGUAACUCUAAUCUGACUAAGGCCUUCUCCCCAAUGUGUACGGACGGCGGGGAGGAACAAAACCUGGAGGGGAUGUGCCAUCAGGCCUCCCAAAGGGGACAAUAUCAUACACACAGGGGCACCCAAAUGUGAUGAGGCCUUCUCUGUACAGCUUAUCAGACAUGGACUAACCAAUAUGUUAUAAACAGCUAUGUUAUGUUAUUAAUCAUGAGAGAAUUAUUUUGUUUAAAAGUAUUGUGAAAAGUGAAAACUCUCAUGGCAAGAAGAAGUUUCUAAUGAAAAGAAAAGCUGUUCAUUAAAGAUAAAAGUUUAUGAAGUUCUAUUAUGUUAUAAAGGUAAAGCUUCUGAUGAAAAUACAAGUUAUGUUUAAAAGUUAUCAGAUACUUGUUCUUUAUGAAAUGUUAAGUUUUAUGACUAUGAAAGUUAUAAUAUUUUUUGGAAAGAGGUUUAUAAAGAAAGGUUUUCUUAUUGGGUCAUGAUGUUUCUAGUUUAAUACAAAGUUGCCGAUUAAUUGAUUUACGUUAAAAUGAUUAUUUUGUAAUGAGAAUAUAUGUGGUGACUUUGUAGAAAAUGAUAGAAGUUUAAUCCGAAAGGUUUUGGUAAUAU